rnacentral:ncRNA from 1 species
CCUAAAAGAUGGUGAACUAUGCCUGAGCAGAGGAAAGCCACAGGAAACUCGGUGGAGGUUUGUAGUGGUCCUGAUGUGCAGAUCGGUCAUCUGACCUGGGUAUAAGAGUGAAAGGCGGAAUCUUCUAGUAGUUGG